UACGUAGGGGGCAAGCGUUGUCCGGAUUUAUUGGGCGUAAAGAGCGUGUAGGCGGCUUUACAGGUCCGUUGUGAAAACUCGAGGCUCAACCUCGAGACGCCGGUGGAAACCGUAAAGCUAGAGUCCGGAAGAGGAGAGUGGAAUUCCUGGUGUAGCGGUGAAAUGCGCAGAUAUCAGGAGGAACACCCGUGGCGAAAGCGGUUCUCUGGGCAUUACCCGACGCUGAGGAGCGAAAGUGUGGGGAGCGAACAGG
rnacentral:rRNA from 1 species